AGGACUUCUGGGCUGCACAAUUCCCUGACUGCUCUCUUACAGUAUUCUCUCAGUUCCAUGUAGCACUACACCCUGCUGACUCCACAUCCUGGGUCUGCAGCUGGAAAAUGACCCAGAGGGCUUCAGGAGGAGUGCUAUUCCACUGUAAGGGACACCUCGAUAGUGGAGACAGGGUAUUAGAAAGAAGCCACUGGAUGAGGAGACAAAUCCUGUCCCUGUUUACAAUAAACCCCAAUACCAUGACAACUCUCCCACUGAAGAUUUAUCACCAUGACAAUUCCCACCACUGAGGACUUACCACUAUGAUAACUCCUUUCACAGGACACCAAGGACCUGGACUUCAACUGGACAUCCAAACAAUCACACUUUUCCUUCAACAGCAGCUCUAUACAACUUGCCAGGAAUGAGCAUAACUGUGUUUUUAUUUACAAAAACUGGUAAGGAGUUAAAUUCGACCAACAGACAGUGUUUUCCCAUCCCCAAAGAAGACCUAAGUCUUGGUUCACAUGGUACCAGUUUCCCUAGCCAGGUCCUCGUAUUUCUCCAUCAUCACUUCCUAAACCCAACAUCUUCUUGCCUCUCUUCCUUCUUGUCCUGAUGCCUUUAUGCCUUUAUGCAAAAGCUAGAAAUCUAAAGUCUGCACUGAAUUGUAUAUUUAUCUUCUAUUAGAUUAAAAUUUAUUAGAGUUACAGAAAUGCAUGUGUGUUACCCCCCA